GCCUGACAUAGGAUACUGGUAGCUGUCCCGAGGUAGAGACCCGGAGCGCGGCUGUGGUCUCUACGUAUUGAUGCAGGGUAGAGACGACGCAUAGCUGCGGUUCAGUAGCGAAGAAGGGAUAAAAAACCGACGUAGAGUCCGAUUUGGUACGUCGUGAUACCCGGAAGGUAACUCCCUCAGGGGAGACCGAAAAGGCGUUGAUAUCAAAAGCCCGCACGUCCAAAACCCGACGGAAGGAAACGAGGCAAAGUAAAAGGGUCAGUUUGGCCGAAAGUUGUCUGAGAGACAGUCUGUCAUUAGUCGGCCAGUCUCUCAGGAAUCGUAGGACCACCUCCACGUCCCAAAGGUGGGAGUACUUAGGUCCUGG